rnacentral:rRNA from 1 species
CAUGAACUUAGCUUGCUAAGUUUGAUGGCGACCGGCGCACGGGUGAGUAACACGUAUCCCACUUGCCGAUGACUCGGGGAUAGCCUUUCGAAAGAAAGAUUAAUACCCGAUGGCAUAGUUCUUCCGCAUGGUGGAACUAUUAAAGAAUUUCGGUCAUCGAUGGGGAUGCGUUCCAUUAGGUUGUUGGCGGGGUAACGGCCCACCAAGCCUUCGAUGGAUAGGGGUUCUGAGAGGAAGGUCCCCCACAUUGGAACUGAGACACGGUCCAAACUCCUACGGGAGGCAGCAGUGAGGAAUAUUGGUCAAUGGACGAGAGUCUGAACCAGCCAAGUAGCGUGAAGGAUGACUGCCCUAUGGGUUGUAAACUUCUUUUAUACGGGAAUAAAGUGAGGCACGUGUGCCUUUUUGUAUGUACCGUAUGAAUAAGGAUCGGCUAACUCCGUGCCAGCAGCCGCGGUAAUACGGAGGAUCCGAGCGUUAUCCGGAUUUAUUGGGUUUAAAGGGAGCGUAGGCGGACGCUUAAGUCAGCUGUGAAAGUUUGCGGCUCAACCGUAAAAUUGCAGUUGAUACUGGGUGUCUUGAGUACAGUAGAGGCAGGCGGAAUUCGUGGUGUAGCGGUGAAAUGCUUAGAUAUCACGAAGAACUCCGAUUG